GCCGAAUGAACUAGCCAUGAAAAUGGAUGGCGCUAGAUCGGACGACUUAUACCCAACCGUUACAUAGACUUGAGCGUAAGCUGCGCCUGGUCGUAACGAGUAAGAGGGUCGUAGUGAUGAGCGUUGAAGGCUUUGGGCGUAGGCCCAGCUGGAGCCGUCACUAGUGCAGAUCUUGGUGGUAGUAGCAAAUAUUCAAGUGAGAUCCUUGAAGACUGAAGUGGAGAAGGGUUCCACGUGAACAGCAGUUGAAUGUGGGUCAGUCGAUCCUAAGAUACUGGCUAAUGCCUUGUAUCAAUGAGAGUAGUGAAGUUAAAUUCGCUCUCGAUUGUCGAAAGGGAAUGAGGUUAACAUUCCUUAACCUAGACGUGAAGAUAGAUAGUCAAUUGACUAUCUUGCGCGGUAACGCAAACGAACUUGGUGACACUGCACAUAGCCCGAGCUAGAGUUUUCUUUUCUAGUUAAGAGGCGGACUCCAUGGAAACGGUUUAGCCGGAGAUAUGGACGUUGUCCUCGUAUAGCAUCACGGUUCCUGUGGUGUCUCGAGCGUUGUGUGCGGUCCUUGAAAAACCAAGGGAGGCAACUUGAAUUUCACGCUAGAUCGUACCGAUAUCCGCAGCAGGUCUCCAAGGUGAACAGCCUCUAGUCGAUAGAAUAAUGUAGGUAAGGGAAGUCGGCAAAUUAGAUCCGUAACUUCGGGAAAAGGAUUGGCUCUAAGGACUGGGUCGGUCGGGCUGUAACACGAAACAGUGAUGGUCCCGUCGAUGUCUGUUUUGGCUUUCGGGCUAGAACGGGCUAGUGGCGGGAACGUUCUGUGGACUGGUGCAGCUAAUGUGCCCACUCUCGGGUGGAACACUUCGGCCGACACUAAACAGUUAACUUAGAACUGGCACGGACUCGGGGAAUCUGACUGUCUAAUUAAAACAAAGGAGAUAGAUGGCCCUUGCGGGCGUUGACUAUCUCUGAUUUCUGCCCAGUGCUCUGAAUGUUAACUCGAUGAAAUUCGAGUAAGCGCGGGUAAACGGCGGGAGUAACUAUGACUCUCUUAAGGUAGCCAAAUGCCUCGUCAUCUAAUUAGUGACGCGCAUGAAUGGAUUAACGAGAUUCCCACUGUCCCUAUCUACUAUCUAGCGAAACCACAGCCAAGGGAACGGGCUUGGCAAAAACAGCGGGGAAAGAAGACCCUGUUGAGCUUGACUCUAGUCUGACUCUGUGAAGAGUCAUGGAAGGUGUAGCAUAAGUGGGAGCAGCAAUGCGUCCGUGAAAUACCACUACUUUUAUCGAUUCUUUACUUAUUUGGUAAGGCGAGGAUUAAGCCUAACGGCUUCUGAUUCUUGAGUUAAGUCUGGUUACUUGGUGACCGGGCGACUCGCGCCAAAGACAGUGUCAGGCGGGGAGUUUGACUGGGGCGGUACAUCUGUCAAACAGUAACGCAGGUGUCCUAAGGCAAGCUCAGAGAGGACAGAAACCUCUCGUAGAGCAAAAGGGCAAAAGCUCGCUUGAUCUUGAUUUUCAGCACGAAUACAGACCGCGAAAGCGUGGCCUAUCGAUCCUUUUAAAUUAGAGGGUUUCUAAUAAGAGGUGUCGGAAAAGUUACCACAGGGAUAACUGGCUUGUGGCAGCCAAGCGUCCAUAGCGACGUUGCUUUUUGAUC
rnacentral:rRNA from 1 species